rnacentral:lncRNA from 1 species
CCAAACUCGGAGGGGACACGGCAACUCCAUCGCGUCCUUUCACCAGCGGAUACAGGGGUUUUUGCUGCAGCUCAGGUGGGAAUGCAGUGUCAUGCUCUUGGCAACCUGGACCUCCCAGGCUCAAGGGAUCCUCUCCGUCAGCCUCCAGAGUAGCUGGUGAUCCUCCCCCCUCAGCCUACAGAGUAGCUGGGAAUACAAGUCCUGCAUGCCAGUAAAACUACUCAUGUCAGCUGUUCUGCAGGAUCCCAUGAGAAGGUGAGUCACCAGAAAAUGCAGUUUCCACAUCCUGAUGAUUUCAUCUCCCUACCCCAACUGAUCAAUUUCUCCAAUUUUCCAGCCUCUCACCCUCCACAAUCCCCUUAAAAACUGUAGCCCAGAACUCUCUGGAAUGAUGAAUUUGAAGGUUUGCUCCUGUCUCCUCACUCAGAAGCCUGUAAUCAUUAAACUCUUUCUCUGAUGCAAACUCUG